AGAGUUUGAUCCUGGCUCAGGAUGAACGCUAGCGGCAGGCCUAACACAUGCAAGUCGAGGGGUAACAGGGAAGCCUAGCUUCCGCUGACGACCGGCGCACGGGUGAGUAACGCGUAUGCAACCUACCUUUAACAGGGGGAUAGCCAAUGGAAACGUUGAUUAAUACCCCAUAAUACACUAAUGCGGCAUCGUAUAAGUGUUAAAGCUUCGGCGGUUAAAGAUGGGCAUGCGUGCCAUUAGUUAGUUGGUGAGGUAACGGCUCACCAAGGCUUUGAUGGCUACGGGGUCUUAAAGGAUGGCCCCGCACACUGGUACUGAGACACGGACCAGACUCCUACGGGAGGCAGCAGUGAGGAAUAUCGGUCAAUGGGCGAAAGCCUGAACCAGCCAUGCCGCGUGCAGGAAGACGGCCUUAUGGGUUGUAAACUGCUUUUGUACGGGAAGAAACGCAUCCACGUGUGGGUGUUUGCCGGUACCGUACGAAUAAGCAUCGGCUAACUCCGUGCCAGCAGCCGCGGUAAUACGGAGGAUGCAAGCGUUAUCCGGAUUUAUUAGGUUUAAAGGGUGCGUAGGCGGCCCGGUAAGUCAGUGGUGAAAUCCCGUAGCUCAACUACGGAACUGCCAUUGAUACUGUCGGGCUUGAGUACAGUUGAGGUAGGCGGAAUGUGUAAUGUAGCGGUGAAAUGCUUAGAUAUUACACAGAACACCGAUUGCGUAGGCAGCUUGCUAGACUGGAACUGACGCUGAGGCACGAAAGCGUGGGUAUCGAACAGGAUUAGAUACCCUGGUAGUCCACGCCGUAAACGAUGAUCACUCGUUGUGUGCGAUAUAUUGUACGUGACUGAGCGAAAGCAUUAAGUGAUCCACCUGGGGAGUACGUUCGCAAGAAUGAAACUCAAAGGAAUUGACGGGGGCCCGCACAAGCGGAGGAACAUGUGGUUUAAUUCGAUGAUACGCGAGGAACCUUACCUGGGCUUAAAUGCAGAAUGACAGGAGUGGAAACACUUUUUUCUUCGGACAGUUUGCAAGGUGCUGCAUGGCUGUCGUCAGCUCGUGCCGUGAGGUGUCGGGUUAAGUCCCAUAACGAGCGCAACCCCUAUCAUUAGUUGCCAGCGGAUCAUGCCGGGGACUCUAAUGAGACUGCCACCGUAAGGUGAGAGGAAGGUGGGGAUGACGUCAAGUCAGCACGGCCCUUACGUCCAGGGCUACACACGUGUUACAAUGGCCGGUACAAAGGGCAGCCACCUGGUGACAGGGAGCUAAUCCGUAAAAGCCGGUCUUAGUUCGGAUUGAAGUCUGCAACUCGACUUCAUGAAGUUGGAUUCGCUAGUAAUCGUGCAUCAGCCACGGCACGGUGAAUACGUUCCCGGGCCUUGUACACACCGCCCGUCAAGCCAUGGAAGCCGGGGGUACCUAAAGUCCGUAACCGCAAGGGGCGGCCUAGGGUAAAACUGGUAACUGGGGCUAAGUCGAAACAAGGUA
rnacentral:rRNA from 1 species